CUAGCACGUGCAGACAAUGCACUAUCAUCAAUACAAGCCAAACAUCCGAACGCUGAAAGUUUUGCGCUUUUGGAUUAUAACGACAAAACGGGAUCACGCCUCAAUGGACUUUCACGCGUUUUUGAUAAAACUCUUCGAGGAUAACUUCCUGACAUAGGUUCUUGUGUGAGAGCUGAGGCCUUUCCCAGACACAACAGAAACCAGAGGCUGUGGUUGAUCUCAUGACUUCCUCCUCAUUGUUUGCCUGUCUGUGUGACUGGAAACCGGCAGUGACGGACAGAUGACUCCGGUCACUCUUAAACCAGGCUUGUGGAGAAACUGGACCUGGCUCCCCUUUAGAAGUAGUGACUAAUAAAGGCCGACGGCAGAGCGCCGUGCUUUUCCCACACUUCUGAGGCAGCGUAACCUGUCAUGCUGACCUUGUUGCUCAACUCUGCUUUCAGCUUGAUGUCCAAAUUAUACCAGCACACUGCUGUCAAGUUGCUGAAGUGGUUUACACACAAUCCUGCACCCAGUGGUCAUUAUCUAGAGGGAGAGAGAGAGGGGAGCGAUCGAGGAUACCAGCCUGCCUGGAGCUGCACCCAAACAUCAAGGGAGUCUGGGUAAUGACCUGAACUCUGCUGUACCUCCCUCUUCCACUUUCUUCUGCUCUGUUCCUUGUUGCUCGGAUGUACCCGCCAGGAACUUUUCCUCAUUUGAGCAAAGACACAUGAGCAGACAUAAGCACAUGGCAGUUUAGGGAUAAUCCUGCAUUUUCUGGUCAUCAUGACUGAGCAGUGAACCAUAUUUCCAAAUGAAAGUGUACUAUAAUCCUUUUUUUUCCCCCAA
rnacentral:lncRNA from 1 species